GAUGAACGCUGGCGGCGUGCUUAACACAUGCAAGUCGAACGAAGCAAUCUAACGGAAGUUUUCGGAUGGAAGCUGGAUUGACUGAGUGGCGGACGGGUGAGUAACGCGUGGGUAACCUGCCUCACACUGGGGGACAACAGUUAGAAAUGACUGCUAAUACCGCAUAAGCGCACAGGACCGCAUGGUCCGGUGUGAAAAACUCCGGUGGUGUGAGAUGGACCCGCGUUUGAUUAGCUAGUUGGUGGGGUAACGGCCUACCAAGGCGACGAUCAAUAGCCGACCUGAGAGGGUGACCGGCCACAUUGGGACUGAGACACGGCCCAAACUCCUACGGGAGGCAGCAGUGGGGAAUAUUGCACAAUGGGGGAAACCCUGAUGCAGCGACGCCGCGUGAGUGAAGAAGUAUUUCGGUAUGUAAAGCUCUAUCAGCAGGGAAGAAAAUGACGGU
rnacentral:rRNA from 1 species